UUGAACAAUGAACUUUAACAAUUCAAACAAUAACAACAACAACAAAAACAAACAGUGUCUUGAUAAUUGGAAAUUAAUUUCUCCUGUCUUGAAUAGACAACUCCUUACAUGUGAACUCCUUUCAGAAACAUGGCAUGAAGCUAUUUGCCUUUGGUCUGGUCUUCAAACUUUCUCCCCCAAUUUUUUUCCCUCACAGAUCUGCUGUGUAUAGCACUGCAUGUGGUAGUAUUUUUUCUUUUCAGACAGUGUCUUCAAGACAUUUGCCAGGUAAUCAUAAAGCUCCCACACAGAUAGAGUUCUCUGGCAGUAUGCAGUAUAAUGUCCCAGGCCAUCUUUGGUCAAGCUUCCCCUGAAAGCAAUGACUGCUCUCAAAGUAAGUGUUUUUUCUUGGAGAACCAUAAUGGAGGGAAAUUCACUCAAGGCGAAUUCAGUUGGAUUUGGAAGGUCACUGUCAAUCCAUGUUAUUUCUCCAAUGCUGUAGCUUGGUCGGAGGCAGGGAGACUGUGGAAGGAAGAGUCCUUUUUCUACUGAAGUGCCAAGCUGAGCCAUGCCAGAAUUCUUCAGGACAGAAAUGUCAGGUGAAACAAAUGUGGCAAUAUUGCACUGGGCAUCGAUUUGGUGGGUACCAGACCUCAACUUUGUUUUUGCAAACAUUGAACUAAGUAGAUCUGCCCUCUGCAAGUAUGUCUUUGGGGUCACGCCAUCUGUAGUUAUGGAUUUCACCAGCUGCAAGAGUGUGUUAUCACUGUCAUUCAUGACAACAUUUUGAAAUGCAGAGCUGUCACAGAAAGUACAGCAUAAGCACUGACAAAGGGCAUCAAAGGAACAGGUGUUUAACACAGAGAGUGACAAUUUCCCAACUUUAACAGGCUGAUGCAUGUUUCCAUUUUUUAAUAAUCCCACUUUCACUCUUUUGGCCCCAGAUGAUGAAUCUGCAUGGAGCCAUUCAGUGCAGGAACUCGGGUAUGAAGUCCUCUUCCUCUUUUUGGGUGGAAGAAUUUGUCCUCUCCAAUUUUCAACCACGUUUUCAUCUGCUGUGGAAAACUCUCUGGUGGCAUCAGAUUCCAUUAAAUCGCUAGAAUCCAUUUCUCUGUUACCUUCAGCAUUAGCAAAUCCGCAUAUUUCCUUCGAUGAAGGAAAGAUGCCGAGAAAUGAAGCGAUCGACUCGCAUGGGUAAGUUCUCAUGUUUGAACAGGCCAUGUUUUAUAUUUUUGAAUUCAGCUUCAACAUUGGCUGAGCUUGCUGUGAGGCUGGUGCUUUUGAAGAGUGGAACCAUUAUUCCUGUCCACAGUGGUAAGUAACUUGCAAGUCUUAUAAUGUGUGGCACAAUCUCAGGGAGGAAAUGGAUGUUAUCCCUAUCCCCAUUAGCUGCAGCAUGUGUCCUGCUCUCCUCACAAAUGUUUGACACCCAGUCUCGUAGGUCAGUCUGGAUGUCAUCACAUGGAUCCACUUGAUGCACUUCCUUUGUGUCUUCAUCUGGAAUGAGGAUGGAAUCUUCUGCAAUCUGGGCUUUCAGGCAGUCCCACUGGCAGACCAUCUUUAUGCAGUGGGCAACAUCAACCCUGAUGUAACAGGGAGGAUGUUUUGCAGACUGGUUCCCAAGUAGCACACGGAAGCAUUCAUCAAUGUAUGACUUCAGGCUAGAAAGAGAAGUGAAGGCCUUCACCAGAGCACCAAGAAUAGCCAGGGAAAAGUCACUCACAGCUUCCCUUGAACACCUUGAUAUAAGAAGAUGUGGCCAGAUGUACCAUUUGGUCGUGCCAGUUUUCUGACAACUGAACCAGUUGCAUCAAAGCAAACUACUGAGGGACAUUUUUUGGUUGCCAGGUUUGGAAGGUGACUUGGCUCUGGAUCUCCAAUAUCCAUCAACUCUGAUGCCUUUGCUGACCUCCAUACAGCUGGUUCCAUCCUACCCUCACACAACUCUUUUGAAACCUGUGCACGAAGGGUUCCUGACAUGAAUCUUUUGGACUGGCCAGUGUGCAGGGAGAUGUCGGCACCUUGGAUGGAGCACUGGAGCACCAUUGGGCUGUUGACCGUUGGCUCUCUGUCACAUGUCAUUUUAACAUGGCCUUGACACUCUUUACGGAAGCCUUUGAUAUCAAUGUACUUACUAGUGACAGUUGGAUAAACCUUUGCUCUUUGGAA